AGUGAUUAAGCAUUUGGCUGCUAACCAAAAGGACAGUAGUUCGAAUCUACCAGUUACUC
rnacentral:tRNA from 1 species